GAUUUCUGGCGAACCGUUGCGGCCCGUGCCCGUUUCGGGCGUGUGUGCCGUGUCGUGUUUGUCAUCCUUCCAGAAAGCUGCGUCUACCAUUCACUUGGCCGGACGUACGCGAUCUGGAUCGAUUACUUUGAAAAAAUUAGAGUGUUUAAAGCAGGCUUAUGCUGUGAAUACAUUAGCAUGGAAUAAUAAUUUAGGACUUCGGUUCUAUUUUGUUGGUUUCUAGGACUGAAGUAAUGAUUGAUAGGGACAGUUGGGGGUGCUAGUAUUCCGCGGCCAGAGGUGAAAUUCUUGGAUUCGCGGAAGACUAACUACUGCGAAAGCAUU
rnacentral:rRNA from 1 species